GAGAAAGUUAUUUGCCACUUCUACCAUAGGGAGUUCUAUCGGUGCAAAAUAAUGGAUAAGCAUUGGAAGGCUCUUGCACAAAGUCAUCUUGAUACCAAGUUCAUCAAGCUGGACGCAGAGAAUGCACCNUUCUUUGUUACCAAGCUUGGAGUCAAAACUUUACCUUGUGUCAUACUGUUCAGGAAAGGGGUUGCAAUUGAUAGGCUGAUUGGAUUUCAAGAUUUGGGAGGAAAAGAUGAUUUCACCACAAAAUCACUUGAGAUUCUUCUGAUGAAGAAAGGUAUAAUUAGUGAGAAGAAAG
rnacentral:misc_RNA from 1 species